GAAAAGACAAACUUCUGAAUGAUUUGUGUGCAUGCGUCUCAGUUCUUGAGUCGUUCUAGAGGAGGAGCGUGAUGCAGAGUAUCGCUCAGGGCCCAGCCUGCGCUCACAUUCGCAGUGGAGUAAAAAAAUCAUAAGGCUCCAUGACUGGAGGCUCUUCAGGCUGGAUAUGGAACUUCUCAGGACAGCUGGAACGCAACUGAAGCUGGUUAUAUUGUUAUCUGUUCCAUCUCGUUAGACAACAUCCUGAGUAAAGGUCCGGAGAGCUACUUACUGGGGUGGACUUUGAAGAAAAGAGACGCUAUGUGUCAUUUGGGAAAGUGAAAGGACUUCUCUUGUCACCAAGCUGAGAAUGCGGUGGUGAGGAAAAACACAGAGUAUGCUGACAUGCACGGACCUCCCCAAACUGUCAGAAGGUCACGCAAACAUAGGACACUAAGGCUCUAUUGAGGGUGUGUUUUCUCAGCAGCUGGCCGUUCAAUGCUCUCCCAAAGGCAAAUCCCAGAGGCUGUAAAAGACAAGCCUCUGCAAUGAAGUCGGAGCAAGAAUAAAGGAUAACUAAGGAAGGCUAAAGCACUGAAAUCAAGCCAAAAUACUGAACAUACUGUAACUGUAGGUUCCAAACAGAGCACUCAAUGUCUUUCAUUUAUUUCAGAGCAUAAACACUCAGUCUCCAAAUGAUGACUGUGGUUUUUAUGAAUUGGAACGGGAUACUAGGACUUUGGUGCCAUGAAGACAUAUGUGGGAUCCCAGUAUAAAAAGACUGCGGCUUCUGUACUCGAGGUGGUCUUUGAAACCUACAUAUGGAAGGAAUUGGAAUUAUCACCAUCAUACUUUGAUGCAUAAGUGUACAUUGAAAAAAGCGUGUUAAUGACCAUUAGAUAUGGUUCUGAUUCAGUCUAGAAUUUUUAAGACAACGAUUUAGUAGAACUUGGAAGGGGAAGGAAUGAGGCAAAGAAAAACAGAAACUUUGCAGUGCUAGUGUUGAAAGGGAUAUUUUAUUGGUCUAGUAAAUAAAAAAAAUAAAAAAUGAAUGCCAUACUUUGAUGCUUUUUUUACCGUCAUAGUUCACCAAAGAUUGAUUGGUUGAUAUUUUCCCCCCAUGGCUUCCAUUGUAGAAGAUUUAUCCCAGGGACCACUUCCAAUCAUCGUUAAAAUGUAAUAAUGUGUAUACAAGUGGAAACAAGCUGAAAUAGCCACUCUCCCCAUUCAAACUUGUGCCAGUGACCGACAUCUGUGAUCUUUGGGUUACGGUGUGGUUGAAAGUGGAAAAACAAGGACAGCUCGAAAAAGAAGACUUUGCACAAGCACGUGAACUCACAAGAAGAAUCCCUGGCUCUUCUAAGGUGAUGUUUAAAUGCGAAGCUGUAACUCUGUGAUGUUUCGUGAGGUGCAGGACUUGGCUUGCUUUGUGAACAGAUCCAGGAAAAGGCCAUGUUCACAGUGGCUAAGUUCCGCUCCUCUGAGGCUAACUCUCAGAACGAAUAGAAAGCACUAAUCCAGGUAUACAGACUCCAAGACUAAAGGGCAUCAACCUAAGGUAAGCUUUACCUGUCAUAUUUAAAUAAUAAUUUCUAUACAAAUAGAAAGAAAGAAAAUCCUACAAUAGUAUUCUGUCAUUCUGACAGUUUGUACACACAGGUUAGGGUUUUCCAGCUUUUAUCUCUCUCCAGGGUGAUCUGAUGAAGGGUUUUUUUUAUCCAUAGGAAUAUGUACCUCCUGAAUAUAUAGAAAUUAGGGCUGUCAAAAUUCGCAAAUUUAUUUUAAAGGCACAAAUUUUAUUAACGCACAUUUCUGUUUGACCAUUUUUAUUAAAAAUAUACAUUAAUAAAU